GAUGAACGCUGGCGGCGUGCCUAAUACAUGCAAGUCGAGCGAACGGACGAGAAGCUUGCUUCUCUGAUGUUAGCGGCGGACGGGUGAGUAACACGUGGAUAACCUACCUAUAAGACUGGGAUAACUUCGGGAAACCGUAGCUAAUACCGGAUAAUAUUUUGAACCGCAUGGUUCAAAAGUGAAAGACGGUCUUGCUGUCACUUAUAGAUGGAUCCGCGCUGCAUUAGCUAGUUGGUAAGGUAACGGCUUACCAAGGCAACGAUGCAUAGCCGACCUGAGAGGGUGAUCGGCCACACUGGAACUGAGACACGGUCCAGACUCCUACGGGAGGCAGCAGUAGGGAAUCUUCCGCAAUGGGCGAAAGCCUGACGGAGCAAAGCCGCGUGAGUGAUGAAGGUCUUCGGAUCGUAAAACUCUGUUAUUAGGGAAGAACAUAUGUGUAAGUAACUGUGCACAUCUUGAGGGUACCUAAUCAGAAGACCACGGCUAACUACGUG
rnacentral:rRNA from 1 species